UACGAAGGGGGCUAGCGUUACUCGGAAUGACUGGGCGUAAAGGGCGCGUAGGCGGUUUGUACAGUCAGGCGUGAAAUUCCUGGGCUUAACCUGGGGGCUGCGUUUGAUACGUGCAGACUAGAGUGGGGAAGAGGGUCGUGGAAUUCCCAGUGUAGAGGUGAAAUUCGUAGAUAUUGGGAAGAACACCGGUGGCGAAGGCGGCACCUGGUCCUUGCCUG
rnacentral:rRNA from 1 species